rnacentral:rRNA from 1 species
UGCAACCUACCUAUGACUGGGGGAUAGCCUUCCGAAAGGAAGAUUAAUACCGCAUAAUGAUUUGAAGGGGCAUCUCUUUAAGUCCAAACCUCCGGGGGUCAUAGAUGGGCAUGCGUUCGAUUAGCUAGUUGGUGAGGUAACGGCUCACCAAGGCUACGAUCGAUAGGGGGUCUGAGAGGAUGAUCC